UAUCGAUGGUGGGCAGUUCCAAAUGUUCAAGAAGAUGACUUGAAUCUUAUGCAUCAUUUACGCUGGUGGAAAAAUUCCUCUCACAUUUUCCAUUAAUGCGAGGGGCAAAUUCAAGUUUGAAAACCAAAGGUGUUCAACUUAACGACUAAAGUUGUCAAUCCGUUUCGCCAGAUUACAGGCUUCAACAGCGAGCAGCUUCAAAGUUUGAGAAGAUGGCUUUCGAGGACAUCAUGCACGCUAUCGAAAGAAUCCUGUAAACGCGAUGGGCAAACUCUGAUUUCUUUGAGAUGACCAGUGUGGGGAAAGGCAAAAGAGAAAAAACCACCAAUAACUAGCAUUUGUUUUAUACUUAUAGCGAGACUUUUGAGCUCUCGUCCUUGUGGUGCAACCUUAAAUGCACGCAUGCGCGUUUGGUAUCAUAUUUUACAAUAAAAUUUUUCUAAGUCUUUUGGCGGGAAACCUUUGUAUAUGUCAAAUUCACUUGUGAUCCCUUUCUUUCAGAUGCCUUGAAAAUGACCAGUUUUAAGAAGUGGCCAAAGAAAAAUUGCCAACCUCGGAAGGAAGGCAAAAAUUGAUGUGGAACACCGCCACCUCCCCGCCACCACCACUAACUAGCAUUUCUUUUAUACUUAUAGCGAGAGUUUGGUGCA